AUUGAACGCUGGCGGCAUGCUUUACACAUGCAAGUCGAACGGCAGCGCGGGCUUCGGCCUGGCGGCGAGUGGCGAACGGGUGAGUAAUGCAUCGGAACGUGCCCAGUCGUGGGGGAUAGCCCGGCGAAAGCCGGAUUAAUACCGCAUACGACCUGAGGGUGAAAGCGGGGGACCGAAAGGCCUCGCGCUAUUGGAGCGGCCGAUGUCGGAUUAGCUAGUUGGUGGGGUAAAGGCUUACCAAGGCGACGAUCCGUAGCUGGUCUGAGAGGACGACCAGCCACACUGGGACUGAGACACGGCCCAGACUCCUACGGGAGGCAGCAGUGGGGAAUUUUGGACAAUGGGGGCAAGCCUGAUCCAGCCAUGCCGCGUGCGGGAAGAAGGCCUUCGGGUUGUAAACCGCUUUUGUUCGGGAAGAAAUCCUCUGGGCUAAUACCCCGGGGGGAUGACGGUACCGGAAGAAUAAGCACCGGCUAACUACGUG
rnacentral:rRNA from 1 species